rnacentral:rRNA from 1 species
GACGGGGGGGGCAAGUGUUCUUCGGAAUGACUGGGCGUAAAGGGCACGUAGGCGGUGAAUCGGGUUGAAAGUGAAAGUCGCCAAAAAGUGGCGGAAUGCUCUCGAAACCAAUUCACUUGAGUGAGACAGAGGAGAGUGGAAUUUCGUGUGUAGGGGUGAAAUCCGUAAAUAUACGAAGGAACGCCAAAAGCGAAGGCAGCUCUCUGGGUCCCUACCGACGGCUGGG